GCGGCGGGGAGGUGGGCCGGGAGCGACAGAGGCUUUAGGCUGUUGCAGGAGCACUUGCAGUUUAAAAAUGUCCAAUUGCCCUGCUCCCUUGAAUUUGUUUCUUCUGCAGGAAGUUCCGCGGUCGAUCCCGACGCUGCAGCCCCUCUCCUGCCCGCCAGGGUGCCGGCCCCGUGCCAAGGGAGAGGCCGAGUUUGUUUCCAGUUUCUCUAGUCAACGGUUCAUCCCAAAUGUGUUUCUCCAGCACCUACUGUGAGCUGGACCUCUCCUAGGCCCCGGAAGAACAAUAAUGAACAGACUAGAUGCCACCCUCUCAUUUCUACAAGGGCAAUGAACAAGGACACUUCUGGUGGAUCAGCAGGGGAUAUUUUAUUUUUUCAAUCGGGAAUGUGUUCAAAUCAAUAUGGUUUAAAUAUCCAAUCAGUAUAAGACGUAUCUAGGAGAAAGCCUGACUCUCACCUCUGCCGCAUCUGACACACACAGAAGCCAUGCUGUGUCCUGGCACCCCUGGCGGGAAAGAUUUCGAUCAGGUGGUCUGGAAGGCCAGUGUGAAGAGGUGACAUUUGCAGGAAAGGAACAUUGUUCAAGAGUGUGCCAGCAUCACAGGUGAGAAGGUGGCAGGUACAAAGGCCCUUAGGUGGUAAGAAGCUUUGCGGGUUCUGAGAACAUAAGACCAGGUGGCUGGCCAGCCAGGUGGCUCAGGAGGUUGGAGCUCCGUGCUCCUAACUCCAAGGGCUGCCGGUUGGAUUCCCACAUGGGCCAGUGGGCUCUCAACCACACGGUUGCUGAUUUGACUCCCGCAAGGGA